UACGGGGGGGGCAAGCGUUGUCCGGAAUUACUGGGCGUAAAGGGCGCGUAGGCGGCCUGCUAAGUCGAACGUGAAAUCCCCGGGCUCAACCCGGGAACUGCGUCCGAUACUGGCAGGCUUGAAUCCGGGAGAGGGAUGCGGAAUUCCAGGUGUAGCGGUGAAAUGCGUAGAUAUCUGGAGGAACACCGGUGGCGAAGGCGGCAUCCUGGACCGGCAUUGACGCUGAGGCGCGAAAGCCAGGGGAGCAAAGCGGG
rnacentral:rRNA from 1 species